GGCGAACGGGUGAGUAACACGAGGGUGACCUGCCCUCCACUCUGGGAUAAGCCCGGGAAACUGGGUCUAAUACCGGAUAGGACCUCUGACCGCAUGGUUGGGGGUGGAAAGUUUAUUCGGUGGGGGAUGGGCCCGCGGCCUAUCAGCUUGUUGGUGGGGUGAUGGCCUACCAAGGCGGUGACGGGUAGCCGGCCUGAGAGGGCGACCGGCCACACUGGGACUGAGACACGGCCCAGACUCUACGGGAGGCAGCAGUGGGGAAUAUUGCGCAAUGGGCGGAAGCCUGACGCAGCGACGACGCGUGGGGGAUGACGGCCUUCGGGUUGUAAACCUCUUUCGCCAGGGACGAAGCUAACGUGACGGUACCUGGAGAAGAAGCACCGGCCAACUACGUGCCAGCAGCCGCGGUAACACGUAGGGUGCGAGCGUUGUCCGGAAUUAUUGGGCGUAACGAGCUCGUAGGCGGUGUGUCGCGUCGAUCGUGAAACUUGGGGCUUAACUCUGAGCGUGCGGUCGAUACGGGCAUCACUUGAGUUCGGCAGGGGAGACUGGAAUUCCUGGUGUAGCGGUGAAAUGCGCAGAAAUCAGGAGGAACACCGGUGGCGAAGGCGGGUCU
rnacentral:rRNA from 1 species